rnacentral:rRNA from 1 species
UGGGGAAUAUUGCACAAUGGGCGCAAGCCUGAUGCAGCAACGCCGCGUGAAGGAUGAAGGGUUUCGGCUCGUAAACUUCUUUAGGCAGGGACGAAAAAAUGACGGUACCUGCAGAAUAAGCCCCGGCUAACUACGUGCCAGCAGCCGCGGUAAUACGUAGGGGGCAAGCGUUAUCCGGAAUGACUGGGUGUAAAGGGUGAGUAGGCGGUUUUGUAAGUCAUAUGUGAAAUCCCGGAGCUUAACUCCGGGACUGCAUAAGGAACUACAGAACUAGAGUAUGGGAGAGGCAAGCGGAAUUCCUAGUGUAGCGGUGAAAUGCGUAGAUAUUAGGAAGAACACCAGUGGCGAAGGCGGCUUGCUGGACCAAAACUGACGCUGAGUCACGAAAGCGUGGGGAGCGAACA